UAGGGAAUCUUCCACAAUGGGCGAAAGCCUGAUGGAGCAACGCCGCGUGCAGGAUGAAUGCCUUCGGGUUGUAAACUGCUUUUAUAAGUGAGGAUUUUGACAGUAACUUAUGAAUAAGGAUCGGCUAACUCCGUGCCAGCAGCCGCGGUCAUACGGAGGAUCCAAGUGUUAUUCGGAAUGACUGGGCGUAAAGAGUUGCGUAGGCGGCAAUGUAAGCGUGUAGUGAAAUCUUGUGGCUCAACCAUAAGAC
rnacentral:rRNA from 1 species